CCCGCACAAGCGGUGGAGCAUGUGGUUUAAUUCGACGCAACGCGAAGAACCUUACCUACUCUUGACAUCUACAGAACUUGGUAGAGAUACCUUGGUGCCUUCGGGAACUGUAAGACAGGUGCUGCAUGGCUGUCGUCAGCUCGUGUUGUGAAAUGUUGGGUUAAGUCCCGCAACGAGCGCAACCCUUAUCCUUAGUUGCCAGCGAUUCGGUCGGGAACUCUAGGGAGACUGCCGGUGAUAAACCGGAGGAAGGUGGGACGACGUCAAGUCAUCAUGGCCCUUACGAGUAGGGCUACACACGUGCUACAAUGGUAUGUACAGAGGGAGGCAAGCUGGCGACAGUGAGCGGAUCUCUUAAAGCAUAUCGUAGUCCGGAUUGGAGUCUGCAACUCGACUCCAUGAAGUCGGAAUCGCUAGUAAUCGCAAAUCAGAAUGUUGCGGUGAAUACGUUCCCGGGCCUU
rnacentral:rRNA from 1 species